AACACCAACCCUGUUUGCACCUCCAUCUGCACCUCCAUCCACACCUCCAUCCGUAUAUCAGUCUGUACCUCCAUCUGCACCUCCAUCCUCACCUCCAUCCGUACAUCAGUCUAUACCUCCAUCUGCACCUCCACCUGUACCUCUAUCUGCACCUCCAUCCUCACCUCCAUCCGGACAUCGGUCUGUACCUCCAUCCGCACUUCCAUCCGUACAUCAGUCCGUACCUCCAUCUGCACCUCUGCCUUUACAUGGGAAGUUCGGGUGCAGGAAGCGAGGGGGGAGAAAGCGAAGGUGGAAGAAGAGCAACUGAGCGGGGAGGAAGUGGAUCUGGAGAAGACCAACCUUGGUUAUUUUUGUAAAUAGUGUUAUUUUUUAUUAUUGCUACUAUUAUGACUAUUAUUAUUAUUAUUAUUACUAUUAUUAUUAUUAUUAUUGAUAAUAAAUAUAUUCUUCUGAAAGACA